rnacentral:tRNA from 1 species
GCCUGGGUGGCUCAGUUGGUUAAGCGUCCGACUUUGGCUUGGGUCAUGAUCCACAGUUUGUGAGUUCGAGCCCCACGUCAGGCU